ensembl:lncRNA
UCCCCCUUUAUCAGGGUGUAACAUUUUGGAGGCCCCAGCGAGGAUGGAUGGUUCCUGGUCCUGCCGAGCGAUGUAGUGCCAUAUGACGACAUCCCACCUUGCAACCACAACUACCACGAUAGGAGGUCGGCGGUGUACAGUAGUCUCACAACUGGAUUGGCAGAAGUGCGAGUAUUCUGAGGUUCCUCACCCAACCAGGAUAACUGCAAGUCCUUCCCAACCAAGUAGACAUCCUGCUUUACACUGACACUGGCCACUUAUCCACAAACAACAUGAACACAUUGGAGGACUUGAGACUUGAAGUAGUGGGGACACUUUACUCACUCAGCAGUGAUCAUCUGAUUGCAGUAUGUGACUUUUUAGAUAUUGCUGGUACGCAAAGAGAGAAUGUUUUGGGUAAAAGUCGCUCAUUUCUAAUUGCACAUAUUGUAAAGUAUAUUGAAAGAGAUGAGGUAGAUGAACUUGAAGACCAGGGUAUGUCUUUUCUCCUUGACCUUAAAGACAAAAUCACUGAAAUUCAGUUGUCAAAUCCAAACACAGUAGAGUCACAGCAAAAGGAAUUGCAUGUAACUCAGAUGUCAGAGCAAGAAAAAUUGCAAAAACAGAUUGAAGCACUCCAAUUAGCUUUACAGUUAUCAUUGCAGCCAAAAGAGGGUGAAUCAAAACAGGAAGUACAGACAGUGAGUCAAAAAGAUCAGACAUUUCAGGGCGGUGCCUCAACAAAAGACCUUACCCAAUCACUUCUGUGGCAGAGGGAGUUCAAAAUAUCUGGUCAGAUUGGGGAACCAGGGCAGAAAGAUAAACUUAGUUUUUCCAGCUUGGCCCAUCAAAUCGAGAACGGGAAAAAUAAGAAUGUCCCUGAACAUGAAAUAGUCCAUGCAGUAAUUAAAGCCAUCGUCCCUGGCAUGCAGCUACGCAGCUAUCUGGAGGGCAAAGCAAACUUAACACUGCCUAACCUGAGAAGGAUCCUUCGCUCACAUUACCAGGAGAGGGGCGCCACAGAGCUGUACAAGCAGCUGAUGUCAGAAGUCCAAGACA